rnacentral:rRNA from 1 species
GACGAACGCUGGCGGCGUGCUUAACACAUGCAAGUCGAACGGAAAGGCCCUGCUUUUGUGGGGUGCUCGAGUGGCGAACGGGUGAGUAACACGUGAGUAACCUGCCCUUGACUUUGGGAUAACUUCAGGAAACUGGGGCUAAUACCGGAUAGGAGCUCCUGCUGCAUGGUGGGGGUUGGAGAGUUUCGGCGGUUGGGGAUGGACUCGCGGCUUAUCAGCUUGUUGGUGGGGUAGUGGCUUACCAAGGCUUUGACGGGUAGCCGGCCUGAGAGGGUGACCGGCCACAUUGGGACUGAGAUACGGACCAGACUCCUACGGGAGGCAGCAGUGGGGAAUAUUGCACAAUGGGCGGAAGCCUGAUGCAGCAACGCCGCGUGCGGGAUGACGGCCUUCGGGUUGUAAACCGCUUUCGCCUGUGACGAAGCGUGAGUGACGGUAAUGGGUAAAGAAGCACCGGCUAACUACGUG